AGGGGCACCCAGAGACAUGGAAUGAGGCAGACUCAGAGGUCUGUAUUUUUUAUUGUGGUAAAAUAGCUAUACCACAAUAUUGGCCAACUUAACGAUUUUUACGUGAACAAUUCAGUGGCAUUAAGUGUGUUUAGAAGGUGGUGCAACUGCUUUGAGUCUCUGCUGGUGAUGUCACUUUGGCAAAGGGACCAGAAGAGCCACCAGUGUCAGGCCUGCUUAGAGUUGUUUGGAGGCAGCAUGGACACAGGUGCCUGUCUCUGCCCGCUAGCUGGGCUGCAGUGCCUCCUAACAAUGCUCCCAGGGCUGGGCCAGCCCCGAGCCUGGAGGUGGGCAGGGCUGCAGCUGCCUCCUGGGCCACUAGAGGGCACGUGGGAGCCGUUCACAUGCACCCCAGGCCCCACUUCCUGGGCAGGGUGCCCGGCACCUCAAAACGAGUGCUGCUCUGAGCUUGUUGGGAUGGAUCUUUCCGUCUUUCUGCUUCUGCCUGCUGGCAAUGCAUGGGGUCCUGCGCCCCCAUUUCUGCCUCGGUGUCACAGGGCACACCCCUCCCCCUCCAAGGUGUCUCUUCUCAGGACACCACUCCCGUUGGAUUUAGGGCCCACCCUACCCCAGUGUGAUCUCAUCUUCACUAGUCACCCUGCAACGAGCCUAUUUCCAAAUAAGCCUGCGUUCUAAGGUACUGGUGGUCAGGACCUCAGCGUGUCUUUUGGGGGGACACAGGGCCCCCAAGAUACCCCACAGCAAGUGACAAGGGGAAGUGAUGAGAUCAGGGUCCCAGGACCUGCCAAGUCUCCCCACACAUGGGGGAGCAGCGGGGUGCCCACAUCCUUCAGUUGCUGACAUGCCCCAGCCCAGGGCCCUGGUGCAAGGAGAGCUGCUCUCUGUGCCCUCCUGGGGCAGGUGCCUGCUGUGCUUCUCACAGGCCUCCUUGUCUUUCAGAAUCAGUUGUCUGGGAACCUGCUGAGGAAAUUCAAAAACAGCAACGGGUGGCAGAAGCUGUGGGUGGUGUUCACAAACUUCUGCCUGUUCUUCUAUAAGUCACACCAGGUAAGUGUCUCACACAGGGCAGGUGGCCCUGGGACCUUGGGGGUGGCAGCAUGAGGGGAGGGGGCCGCCCUCCUCUGGAAGGACUCAGGCCUCUUGAGCUCCAGGUGUCACGGGGGUGACAGGGAUGCUGGCGGGGGACCCUGUCCACCCAAGGCCCUCAACUCUAGGAAAGACUGACAUCAUCCACUGAAGGACCACUUCCACCCUAGGAAGGGCCCCUUGUCUUCUGGCUGGACAAGGGACGGAGGUUGGCUUUAUCCACAGCUCAGUCGUGAUGGGAUUUGCCACCCGGGCCAUCACAUACAGGCCAACACUGGCUGCCAUGGUCCCUUCCAGGCCCACGCCCGAAGGGGGAGCUGCCCUGGCUCCCGAGUGCCUGUGUGAUGUGGGGCAGCCGCCAGGCCCAGCAGCAGAAGCUGCCCCCGAAAAGCCACUUUGCUUUGUUUCCCCUUUCCAGGACAAUCAUCCCCUCGCCAGCCUGCCUCUGCUCGGCUACUCGCUCACCAUCCCCUCUGAGUCCGAGAACAUCCACAAAGACUACGUGUUCAAGCUGCACUUCAAGUCCCACGUCUACUACUUCAGGGCGGAAAGCGAGUACACGUUCGAAAGGUAGAUGCCCCCUUCCCAUGCACAGGGCCUUGCAGAAGAGAACCCCUCUUCCAAACAUCAAGAUUUCUCCCAAGUCAGCCAGUGAGAUGGCCCCACCCUUCCCUGCCAUCUAAGUGUUUAGACCUGGGGUCCCACUGCCCGACGCCAGCAGGCGAUUCUGUUCUCAUGGCAGAAAGUGGGGUCCCGACUUCCCUGCGCCCUUAACCAGCACGGUGCUGGCUGAGGCCCUAGACAUCUCACUUGUACAUCUCCGAUGUAUGUGUAUGGGAUGAUGAAGCUAAGCCCCAGUGAGACUGCCUACAUGGUGUAAUGCCAGGGGCCGCAGACUUCAUUUAGCCACGAAAUAAAUGAAACAGUCAGGCCUAAGACUGUUCCUGCAAUUCACAUUUUGAAUAGAGAUCCUGGGCCUCUGCAAAUUGCAUCCCCAAGCCAACUACCUGUGCAGUUGGCACUGCUGAGCCGCCCGCUGGGAGGCAGGAGGGGAGGGGUCCUCAGCAAUAUGCUGAGCACUUCCUAAACAAUAUCACCUGAAAAAGGAACCUAGAGAGGAGAGCCAUUCUCAAAUCUGAUCCUGGACUGAGCUUGAGAGCUGAGUUUAUCCAAGUUGGGAUUUUGCUAUUAUUGUGACAAAGGGUCCAGCCUUGCAGUCCAGAUCCUGAAAGGCCUGGGACAAGGCCAGACAAUUUGGGGAGUCUGUCCUGCAUCGUGUAGGAUGUUCAGCGGCAUCCCUGGCCACCCACUAGAUGCCCGCAGCAACCCCUCAGUUGGGACAUCUAAAAAUGUCUCCAGACUUCACCAAGUGGGACAGCAUUGCACCCAUUUGAGAACCACUGGUAUAGAGCAAAUACAGAUAAAUAAAGAGGGAGAUUCAGGCGUGGUGGUGCAAGCCUGUAGUCCCAUCUCCUGGGAGGCCGAGGCUGGAGGAUCGAUUGAGCCCAGGAGGUAGCUACAGUGAGCGAUAACUGCACCACUGAAGUCCAGUAUGAGUGACAGAGCCAGACCCUGUCUC
rnacentral:sRNA from 1 species